rnacentral:tmRNA from 1 species
GGGGAUGUAUUUGGUUUUGACGUUAAUGAUUUAAGUUAAUUGAUGGCAAUCCAGGCAUCGCGCUGUCUGCCUGCCAAUUAGCCCAGCGCAUUAUAAGUGCAAAUACUUAUAGAUCUUUAGCUGCUUCUGCAAAACGAAUGGCUGCAAGAGUUUCGACUCCUGCUUUCGUUCCUUUUUUUGCUUAAAUAGCUAUUACGCCCCGCUGAGCGGGGCUCGUCUUGCAUAGCGACACCUGCUGACUGUGUAAGGCGUAAUUUAGCAGGUUAAGCCCCGACGACGCCUUUGGAGGUGUCGGGGUCGAAAAAAUAACCCAGAUAGGCUAAGUCGCUUUUGUUCGUCUUUAUGGCUUAGAUGAAAAUUCUAAACGAACUAUGAUUGUAGAGGUUUAUUGACUUCAUUUUCGGACCCCGGUUCGACUCCGGGCAUCUCCACCA